rnacentral:rRNA from 1 species
CCUACGGGGGGCUGCAGUGGGGAAUAUUGGACAAUGGGGGGAACCCUGAUCCAGCCAUGCCGCGUGUGUGAAGAAGGCCCUCGGGUUGUAAAGCACUUUCAGUGAGGAAGAACGCCUGGUGGUUAAUACCCAUCAGGAAAGACAUCACUCACAGAAGAAGCACCGGCUAACUCCGUGCCAGCAGCCGCGGUAAUACGGAGGGUGCGAGCGUUAAUCGGAAUUACUGGGCGUAAAGCGCGCGUAGGUGGCUUGAUAAGCCGGUUGUGAAAGCCCCGGGCUCAACCUGGGAACGGCAUCCGGAACUGUCAAGCUAGAGUGCAGGAGAGGAAGGUAGAAUUCCCGGUGUAGCGGUGAAAUGCGUAGAGAUCGGGCGGAAUACCAGUGGCGAAGGCGGCCUUCUGGACUGACACUGACACUGAGGUGCGAAAGCGUGGGUAGCAAACAGGAUUAGAUACCCUGGUAGUC